AAAAAGAGUUGUUUGCCGAACAAACACUAAAAAUAUAUUUUUUUUAAUUUAAUCGCUACAGUGAAAUUGGUUGGUCGCAGACGAUGAGUCCGCAUUGACCAGGUACAAUGUUACUAAAAAUUUGGAACUGAAACAAGAGUUGUUUGCCGAACGAACACUAAAAAUAUUUUGUUGACAUUACAUACAACAUACUAAAACAGAAAAUUACUAUUAAUAUCACUUAAGUACUAUCAAUACCACACAAUACUAUCGGCUGACUUCCUAGAUUUAACCGGCCUGUUUUUUUGUCGGAUCGAUAAAUUGCGCAAAAUUUCUUAUCGGUUCCAUGCGAAUAUAACCCCUGAUGUUUCUAGCGGCCCCUUUUUUUCGAUCUGAGUAUUAGGCUUUAUACCAGGGCUCGGCACGCACACAUAGCGCUUCGUUUUCUGUUUGUGUGCGAAGACAGCAUGCGUGCACGCAAAACGAAAAAUUGCAAUAUGUACAUUGGUAUUGGUACGAAUCACUGUAAUACACGUGUACGUGAGCGGCAGCGCCGAGUUAGAACCUUGUCCCAUGCCAUGAAGAAACUAUAAGGAGGUCUCGUCGGCAAACAUAAGCAGAACGAGCGAGUGAAAAGUACGAGUAAGAGGGCUCUCGCUGCAAGUGUGAGGGCAACGACAAUGGAGUGUGCUGAUCAUGAAGAAAACAUUCGUCCGCAACCAACCUUCCGCGUCGACAAGCAAACGAGCACUGAACCUAGUCAGAACCAGCGAGUAACUCUACCACCGACGAGGCCUCCUUAUAGUUUCUUCAUGGCUGAGUGCAUAAAGCAACUAUAUAAGGAGGCCCCGUCGGAAAAAAUUAUGGAAUAGUGCGAGUGAAAGGGCUCUCGCUGUAAGUGUGAGGUCAACGACAAUGGAGUGUGCUGAUUAAUCAUUUGAAGGCAAUGUGAAAAAACAUAAUAAUUGUUUCAUAGUUUAAUUUUUAAUAGUUUGCUACUAGUAAUAGCUAAUAGUAGCCUGUGUUUUGAAAAAAUAAACAUUUAAAAAAAAUGGAAAAAAAAUGUUGUCCGCAACCAACCUUCCGCGUCGACAAGCAAACGUGCACUGAGAAUUUGGUAAAGCAGCGAGUAACUCUGCCACCGACGGGUCCUCCUUAUAUAGUUGCUUUAUGGCUGAGUGGAGGAGCAGCUUAUUCACCACGCUUCACCACCAUAGCACCGCCACGAUUCACCACCAUAGCAAACGCUUUACGUUCUGCACUCUUCGCUUUUAUUGUUUCUGCUGACAGCAAAAAAA
rnacentral:lncRNA from 1 species